rnacentral:rRNA from 1 species
CAGAAGGGAGCUUGCUCCCGGAUGUUAGCGGCGGACGGGUGAGUAACACGUGGGUAACCUGCCUGUAAGACUGGGAUAACUCCGGGAAACCGGAGCUAAUACCGGAUAGUUCCUUGAACCGCAUGGUUCAAGAAUGAAAGACGGUUUCGGCUGUCACUUACAGAUGGACCCGCGGCGCAUUAGCUAGUUGGUGGGGUAAUGGCUCACCAAGGCGACGAUGCGUAGCCGACCUGAGAGGGUGAUCGGCCACACUGGGACUGAGACACGGCCCAGACUCCUACGGGAGGCAGCAGUAGGGAAUCUUCCGCAAUGGACGAAAGUCUGACGGAGCAACGCCGCGUGAGUGAUGAAGGUUUUCGGAUCGUAAAGCUCUGUUGUUAGGGAAGAACAAGUGCGAGAGUAACUGCUCGCACCUUGACGGUACCUAACCAGAAAGCCACGGCUAACUACGUGCCAGCAGCCGCGGUAAUACGUAGGUGGCAAGCGUUGUCCGGAAUUAUUGGGCGUAAAGGGCUCGCAGGCGGUUUCUUAAGUCUGAUGUGAAAGCCCCCGGCUCAACCGGGGAGGGUCAUUGGAAACUGGGAAACUUGAGUGCAGAAGAGGAGAGUGGAAUUCCACGUGUAGCGGUGAAAUGCGUAGAGAUGUGGAGGAACACCAGUGGCGAAGGCGACUCUCUGGUCUGUAACUGACGCUGAGGAGCGAAAGCGUGGGGAGCGAACAGGAUUAGAUACCCUGGUAGUCCCACGCCGUAAACGAUGAGUGCUAAGUG